rnacentral:rRNA from 1 species
UACGUAGGUCCCGAGCGUUGUCCGGAUUUAUUGGGCGUAAAGGGAACGCAGGCGGUCUUUUAAGUCUGAUGUGAAAGCCUUCGGCUUAACCGGAGUAGUGCAUUGGAAACUGGGAGACUUGAGUGCAGAAGAGGAGAGUGGAACUCCAUGUGUAGCGGUGAAAUGCGUAGAUAUAUGGAAGAACACCGGUGGCGAAAGCGGCUCUCUGGCCUGUAACUGACACUGAGGCUCGAAAGCGUGGGGAGCAAACAGG